CCUACGGGGGGCAGCAGUGGGGAAUAUUGCACAAUGGGGGAAACCCUGAUGCAGCGACGCCGCGUGAGUGAAGAAGUAUUUCGGUACGUAAAGCUCUAUCAGCAGGGAAGAAAAUGACGGUACCUGACUAAGAAGCCCCGGCUAACUACGUGCCAGCAGCCGCGGUAAUACGUAGGGGGCAAGCGUUAUCCGGAUUUACUGGGUGUAAAGGGAGCGUAGACGGCAGCGCAAGUCUGGAGUGAAAUCCCAUGGCUUAACCAUGGAACUGCUUUGGAAACUGUGCAGCUAGAGUGCAGGAGAGGUAAGCGGAAUUCCGAGUGUAGCGGUGAAAUGCGUAGAUAUUAGGAGGAACACCAGUGGCGAAGGCGGCUUACUGGACUGUAACUGACGUUGAGGCUCGAAAGCGUGGGGAGCAAACAGGAUUAGAUACCCUAGUAGUC
rnacentral:rRNA from 1 species